GUCUUAACAGGAACUCGAAAAUGAAAUAGGAAAUUAGAAUACGCAUUUAUUCAUUGGAGGGUAUUAAAAAAUAAAUUAUCAGUGGACGAUCGUUCUAUACUACUCAGGUGGUGACGGGUAGUAUAAAGUACACCGUCACUACUUGUACAAUUAUUCUAUUAAUUCUAAUAUUUCUUCUACUAGUUUUUUCUUUAUGAUACUUAAUAACCGCGUUAAAAUUUUACUAGUGUGUGCAUUAUUAAUUGCCUGCUAGUUUUCAGCCAUUCACCGAUCCAUUCAAACUGAAUACUUUAAUAUAUUCAUAACAAGCCUUUGUAGAAUUCUUCACUAUAGUUAUUCAUCUUUCAACAAAUCAUAAUGAAAUUAUUUUCAUUAGUCUUCUUUUCAAUUAUCGUAUUUAUGGUUAUCAAUAAUGUUCAAAGCAAGCCAUUGUGUUGUA